rnacentral:misc_RNA from 1 species
CCUGUUUGCUUUGAGUUUUUAUUUGAGUCGAGAUAUUACGUCACUGUAUUACGACGUGGACACAUAAUUCAUGAGAACUGCUUAAAGGAGAUCAGAGAACACUACCAAUAUGCUUGUCCUCUCUGCUCAAAGUCAGUUUGUGAUAUGUCUAAUGUAUGGGAGAAAUUUGAUAUGGAAAUUGCAUCAACGCCAAUGCCAGAAUCUUACCAGAAUAAAAUGGUUUGGAUCCUUUGCAAUGACUGUGGAAAGACUUCACAAGUGCAAUAUCAUAUUGUAGCUCAGAAAUGCUUGGAUUGCAAGUCAUACAAUACCCGUCAAACAAGAAGCUGAGAUGGCAGACUGUAUAACUUAGGAAAUUACAGUGGUGAUAGCUUCAAAUACGGGAUGCAUCAUCAGUUUGGGGGGGUGUUAAUUUGCCUUUUCAGCCACCUGCGCAAUGCUCAUGGAUGGGAUAAUGUAUGAUCCUGUGGUUCUGCAUCCCGUUGUAUCUUUGUGUGG